GACGUAGGGUCCAAGCGUUGUCCGGAUUUACUGGGCGUAAAGAGCGCGUAGGCGGUCCGUUAAGUGUAGAGUGAAAGCUCCGGGCUCAACUCGGAAAUUGCUCUGCAUACUGGCGGACUCGAGGACGGAAGAGGUUUGUGGAAUUCCUGGUGUAGCGGUGAAAUGCGUAGAUAUCAGGAGGAACACCGGUGGUGUAGACGCUUUCUGGACCGUAACUGACGCUGAGGUGCGAAAGCGUGGGGAGCAAACAGG
rnacentral:rRNA from 1 species